rnacentral:tRNA from 1 species
GCAAUGAUGGUUCAGUGGUAGAAUUCUAACCUUCCAUGUGGAAGACCUGGGUUCGAUUCUCAACCAUUGUA